UACGAAGGGUGCAAACGUUGCUCGGAAUUAUUGGGCGUAAAGAGCUCGUAGGCGGUCUGUCGCGUCGGCUGUGAAAACCUGGGGCUCAACUCCGGGCCUGCAGCCGAUACGGGCAGACUAGAAUUCGGUAGGGGAGACUGGAAAUCCUGGUGUAGCGGUGAAAUGCGCAGAUAUCAGGAGGAACACCAAUUGCGAAGGCAGCUCGCUGGGACGUUACUGACGCUGAGACGCGAAAGCGUGGGGAGCAAACAGG
rnacentral:rRNA from 1 species